rnacentral:rRNA from 1 species
AUGAAGCUGGAAUCGCUAGUAAUCGCGGAUCAGAAUGCCGCGGUGAAUACGUUCCCGGGUCUUGUACACACCGCCCGUCACACCAUGGGAGUCGGGAAUGCCCGAAGUCAGUGACCCAACCGAAAGGGGGGAGCUGCCGAAGGCAGGCCUGGUAACUGGGGUGAAGUCGUAACAAGGUAUC